rnacentral:rRNA from 1 species
GACGAACGCUGGCGGCGUGCUUAACACAUGCAAGUCGAACGGAAAGGCCCUGCUUUUGUGGGGUGCUCGAGUGGCGAACGGGUGAGUAACACGUGAGUAACCUGCCCUUGACUUUGGGAUAACUUCAGGAAACUGGGGCUAAUACCGGAUAGGAGCUCCUGCUGCAUGGGGGGGGUUGGAAAGUUUCGGUGGUUGGGGAUGGACUCGCGGCUUAUCAGCUUGUUGGUGGGGUAGUGGCUUACCAAGGCUUUGACGGGUAGCCGGCCUGAGAGGGUGCCCGGCCACAUUGGGACUGAGAUACGGCCCAGACUCGUACGGGAGGCAGCAGUGGGGAAUAUUGUACAAUGGGCGGAAGCCUGAUGCAGCAACGCCGCGUGCGGGAUGACGGCCUUCGGGUUGUAAACCGCUUUCGCCUGUGACGAAGCGUGAGUGACGGUAAUGGGUAAAGAAGCACCGGCUAACUACGUG